rnacentral:sRNA from 1 species
CAACCCGCGAUUGAAGUUAAUAUUCCAGGUCCAUGUCGCAUUUAUAUGAACACCGAUUCACAUAUAUAUGCCAGAAUCGAGAUAAAAUGACAACAAUUUAACCCCAUUUCUCAUACCGGCCGACAAUUCCUUCGAGUCAUACCCUUAGUAGCCUUGGAGCUGCAUACUCGUAUUGAAUGCCAUAUAAUUAGGGGUGAUUUUCCUCUCAGUAUCAACUAUUCACUGCCUGAUCUAAAGGAAUUAGACCCUUUUAAAAACUCUUAACAAUGAGUUUUACCACUUGAAUAAUUGUCCCUCCCGUGAUCCAAGAACGCUUCUAAAAAUGCUAGAGCUUGCCGUUUCCAACCUUAGACGAGUGAGUGUGGACAGUGAAGCAAAAUCAUAACUAUACGUCUCCUUUACAUGCUAUGAAGAAUGGCUGAGAUAUCCCCGAACAUCUAUCUUAACUUCUGAUCCAUUUCAGUAUGGAUGGUGAGAAGGUUCAAGAGGUGUGGGCGGGAGACAUUCCUUGUACUGUACAUCAAGACAAUUACAUGUUUUUCUAUCAUUCUUUUAUUUGAUGCUGUCUUUAUUUUCCAGUUCCAGAAAGCCUUGAAUUGAGUGGCAAGCAUUCUCUCUUCGUCUAUGAUUAUCUCUAAGUAAAGGUCUGUUGGUGAGAUCAACAUAACUAUCGUUUGGCUGCCUUGAGAUGCUAUGUUGCGGCAUUAUAUCUUCACCUUUGAAUUGGCAUCUAAACGCAUGAAAACGGUCAGGUUUAACUGCUAUCCAAGAACAAGGAACGAACCUAAGUUCAGGAAGCGGGAAAGCGGUGUCGGAAGAAAAACAUACUCGGAUAAAAUAUAAAAGCCUUUACUAAAAUCCUUCCUCUCCUCCAAAUUCUCAUCGAGAUUGUCCCCAAAUUUCUAUUUAUAGUUUUCCUUCAAUUUCGCUUUCCCUCUACUUUCCAGAGGACUUGUUCGUGCUUCGGCAGCUUUUCGAAAAGCUUUGGUUAAAUGAAAAUACUCGAUGUCGACGAGACAGGUUGCGUCGAGGCUAACCGCUACCGUACAAUGGUGAACGAGGACAUGAGACAAUGUAUCCUCUAUGACUCUCCUAAGCCUGGAAAGAGUUGCAUCUAGAGUGUAGACAAAGUGGGCAUGUAGAUGUGAACCAAUUUUGUUGACCGGGCCGAAAUCUUGAGACAAAUGAUUAUUGAAAUAGGUUUUCUUUCAAUAUUUAGUAUGUCGAUUUUUUCAAGAUAUUGUUCUUCUAUGAUCCUCAAGGCAUUGCUGUUAUCGAUCGAAUUAUGUAUAUCGCAAUUUAGUGUUCUUAUUCCCUGUCCUCGAGCCGUAUAUUAUAACUCUCCUGCUCUUUUCCCGUCCCAGGAAAAAGUAAAAAAAAAAAAAAAAAGCAAAGCCCGAAGAAACGAAAGCCUAAUACAUUGCCAUGCUGAUAUUAUAUGUUAUUACAGAAUGACUCGAAAAGUAUGGAUUGCCCUGACCAGCGUAAUAUAUGUACUGUACUUCACCAUUCCAAUAUAUACCGAUGCAACUACUCUGUAUAGGAAAAGCAAAGACGUGAACGGUCUGUCAAAAAUGUUCAAAUCCACAACCCGCCACCAGCUAUAUUUUUUGAACCGCUGGCUUUGAUGGCAUGUUAUUUUUCAUCUCCCGCAGUGCAUGCAUAACAUCGACUGGAUUAGUUUUCUUCGUAGCUUUUUGGAUUUCCGGAUCGUUGACCCUCAUGAAUACAUUAUGAAGCUUCUCAUCGCCAAUGUUGAAUUUACCCUGGGUUUCUUUAUGUUUCUCUACGAACGCUUGUAGCUUUUUGAUUGGUUCUGAUUGAGAGAUUUCGAGACAGAAUUCCACGUUCUGCUUUGUGUAUUCAUGGCCGGGAUAGACUUUGGUAUCGUCUGGAAGCCCAGCAAGAAUAUGAUUCAGGGCAUUAUUCAUUUGUUCAGCAGUUCCCUCAAAGAAUCGACCGCAUCCUCCAAUGAAAAGCGUAUCUCCUGUAAAUACAACUCGUUGGUCACCGUCUUCCGCAAAAUAGCAGAUGCUAUCCUGGGUGUGACAUGGCGUAUGCAGAGCAGUCACUUGAACGCGUUCUCCUAUUUUGAACGUUUCCCCGUGUUUGGGAGUCUUUGUGACGGACAAGCAAUCUCUACCCCCAAUGAUGGGCAGCUUGCCGAAUUGCUCGAGAAUCCUCUCAUUGCCACCGGCAUGGUCAGGGUGAUGGUGCGUAUUUAUAAUUGCUUUGAGAUUGAUUUUGCCGCUAUCAAUAUGGGGUUUAAGAGUAGGAAUGACCUCUGGAGGAUGUGCAGGGUCCACGAUCAUCGCAUCCUUUGAUACUUCAUCGGAUAUUAGAUAGGCAUAAUUAUUGCCCGUUCCCGUCCACAUGGGAAUAGAUUCGAUAUGCAUUUUGCGUUUGAAUACCGAUAUACCGGGUGUUGCCAACCGACUGAAAGUCCUGCCUGCGAUCAUGAGUUAUUGGGCUCCCUAUCCCAUUCGGUGUGAUGUGGG